GACGUAGGGCGCGAGCGUGUCCGGAUUUAUUGGGCGUAAAGAGCUCGUAGGCGGCUUGUCGCGUCGAAUGUGAAAUCUCGGGGCUCAACUCCGAGCUUGCAUUCGAUACGGGCAGGCUAGAGUUCGGUAGGGGGAGACUGGAAUUCCUGGUGUAGCGGUGAAAUGCGCAGAUAUCAGGAGGAACACCGGGUGGCGAAGGCGGGUCUCUGGGCCGAUACUGACGCUGAGGAGCGAAAGCGUGGGGAGCGAACAGG
rnacentral:rRNA from 1 species